UUUCCAUUGUUGAAUGAUAUGCAGUAUAAAGGAAGCACCCUUUUCAUUGGUGGGGCGAAUUCGGAUUUUAUAGGGUAAGAUAAGAACUGACAAUGACAAAUAUUCCACACCCUCAACUGUCACCUAAUGGCACUUGCUUCAAAUUUCUGUAAAAUUUGUUUCUCUUUGUUUGUAUCUAAGUUUCGGGCAGCCAGUAUUAGAUGCAAAUCAGACUUUUCAGCCGAAACUGAAUUUUUGAAGUAUACUGUCGAACUCUCGUACUCUUCGUAUCAAAGUACAGAGUCGAUUUUAGCAAAAGAAAAGCCCGACCCUCUGGUCAUAUUGCAUGGAUUGUUGGGAUCCAGAUCCAAUUUUAACAGUCUGUGUAAGAAGUACUGUGAUAAUGAACAUUUUAAAAGACAAGUUUUUGCACUCGAUCUCAGAAAUCACGGGGAUUCGCCCCAUUGCGAUGAUCAGUCAUAUGACAAUGUGAUCAUUGAUCUGCUGAGGUUUUUUCAAAGAUUGGAACUGCAUAAAGUGUCAAUACUCGGGCAUGACAUCGGCGGACGGGCCGGAAUGUUAUUUGCGUUAAAAUAUCCGGAAUUGGUGGAGAAGUUGAUCGUGAUCGAUAUGUCGCCAAUAACUACAAGUCACAAUUUUACAUCUUUUGCGGAUAUUUUGUAUGCCCUGAGUAAAAUGUCUUUCCCUUCAAAUUUGCCUUUGUUAGAGGCGAGGGCGUACGCCACUGCUCAUUUAUCUAAAGUAAUCAAAAGUAAGGGGAUUAUGAAUUUUAUAUUAAUGAAUUUGGUUCAGAAAAGCGAUACGAGCUAUACCUGGAGAUUCAAUGCGAAAACUCUGCUAAAAGAUUUCAAGGAAAUUUCGACAUUCCCCGUAGUACACAACAUAACUUUUGAGGGACCGGUUUUAUUUGUAGGUGGCGCGAAAUCUGACUAUAUUCAGAAAAGCGAUUAUCCCAAAAUUCUGAAGCUGUUCCCUAACGCGGAGCUGAAAUAUAUCGAGGGGGCUGGUCACUGGGUUCACUCCGAGAAACCCAAUGAAUUCCUCAGUCUCACUUUAGAAUUCCUAAAUAAAGACCAAAGCGCUGUAAACUAAGAAUUCCUUGUGAUAUAUUUUAGAUAAAUAUUUGUUGUAACAUUCAUUGCAGUAAUCCUUUCCUUUAAGAAAGCCUCAAAGUAGAGACUUAAAACAGCACUUCAUGGAUAUGUAGAUACAUGAAAUAUGCGUAAAUUAACAACCUAUACUACCUCUGUCUUUUUUGCAGACAUUAUUAGGUAUGCUAUUCUUUUAUGAGUAUUUAUUACUGUACAUGUAUAAGUACAUUAUAUUUCCCAAAUCCCUAAAUUAACUUUUGCUGUUCACUUGCCCCUUGACUUUUGAAUGGUGUAUGUGAAUAUUAUUGACAUUGACAUUGGCAUUGAAUACGUAACAACUAAUCACAGGAACGAUCUAUCCUCAACAAACUGCACUUAUGUUGUGGUUAAUCCAGAACCAUAGACUUAAUAUUCGAAUACAUUAAUCAUCGGUAGUAGGCGAGUAUCCAUGACUAUAAAGAUGGACCCGCAAUUUAUGAUGUCGAUUGAUAGGCUUAUUUUUAUAGAGUACCUUACCUUACCUUUACUAAAGGUAAGGUAAGUUAUUUAGUAACACAAAAUAAGUAAUCGUAAUUUUUAUUUGUUUUAUAUCUUUCUGUUAAUAUUUUUGUAAUGCAGUUUUAUUUUUUAGGACUAGUGACAUUUGACCAUAUAAAAACAAUAAAACAAGGAUAGUGCCAAAAGAAACUAAUACCAAUAAUAUUAUUAUUAAUUAUUUGUGGCCCUGUGUUUUGUUUCAUUUUGUAUUCCAUCGAAGAUUUUAUAUAAAUUAUUUUGAAUCUAACUAAGUAGUAAAUGUUUUUUCUCUUACAACUCGUUCUACAGUACUAUAACUGCGAGAAACAUCACGCGCAUUAGUGUCAUUUCUAAUUAAUUGAAUAUCCUUUUGGAGGGCAUUCUUUUACAUAAAAAAAGAAUAUAUUUUCGUUCUGUGAUUUGUAAUCCACCUUUCCCAUUUUGGUAUGGAUCUGUGGACCCGUAAUUCCUAAAAUUGCGACUCCGCUUAAUUUGUUUGAUCAAUAUAACGUAAAUAAGGAAGGAAAUUAUCGAACGAGGUGGCUCAAAAAUGUUAAAAUUCAUUGAUUAAUCAAUGUAUGGUUCUCGCAAAGAACGGGCUGGGAAGAGUACCACAGACUUGAAUGCCUGUUGACAAUGAAUUAAGGAAUUACUGAGUUCUGAGUUAUUUGGAUGGAUAGGUGACCAGUGUGUGCUUCCCACAUAGGUUAAAAGAGCCCCGACAAAUUAGAGGGACACAGUGAACAACUAGGACCAAGAUUUUUCAAUCUGCGA